GAAAAAUACCCUACAUGAAUUGGCACGGAACGGCCGCGAGAGGGCGUCACAGCGAUCUCAUUAUAUGACGUCAUCAUACUGACCAUAAAAGGCAGUUUUCAUGAAUGAAACUGUUGCGCAUGCGCACAUGCUUCACGUCUGUACCUCGAGUAGUUUCCACUUCGACAGAGUUCACGACGAUCUUUCGAAUGGUACCAAAAUCGUAUGAAUUCGUGGUUUUCUUCGACUUUAUAUUCCAUUUCUUUGGUGUCAACCUGAGGCGCAACAACUCGCGGAUUCCUUGGUGGUAUUUGAAUUUUGGUUGGCGGGAAGUGUCGUGCCCUUGUCGCGAUGUCGUCUUUCGGUCCAGAGUUUCUACAUACGUCACCUGAAAUUGCAGCGCCAUGAAGAGGUGGAAGCGUGCCUCCUGUGACAGCGACAACAUUUAAUACAUUGCCGUUAUUAAUGAAUAGUUUUCCCCACCCAAUUUUAACAAUAAAAUAUUUUAAUAUCGUGCGACAUGAAGUUUUUAUUUCAAACUGUCUUUAUCGCUCCCCAUUUUGACGGUAGCAUAACAAUUCAAAGAGAAGAGCUUACAUGACUACACAAACUUAUACAAGUAAUUCAAAACUUACCGUUAUACGAGAGAAAACUAAGCUUCUUGGAGGCUGUGCAAUGGGUUAAGCCGUAUCUUAAUUAGGUUUGAACCUGCCAUUGUUUCCCUUAAUCCUGCUGAGCUGAGUGGGGUGUGAAGGGGGCUGUUUAUUGAGGAGGGAAGUCACAUUGCUGUUUACGUGUUGUACAUGUAGGUUAAAUUUCAGUCUUAAUUAUUCAGGUACCGGUCGAAACCACAAGAACAAUGCUAUACACAUAGAAAACGGGUUGAAUGUUUAUUGAAAAAAGCUAAAAUUUACAAUUACAAUAAUGCACUUGGUAAAAAUAAAGCCCUGGGAAUGGACAGCAAGGAAAGCACUAUUGUGAAAAGAGUUUAUAAACAAUCUUUAGAUUUAAAUGUAUAACUCGAGUGAUUGGGUCAAGAGAUCUUCCACUAUUUUUCCAAGUGAAUUGUAUACUAACCAAAAACAACCAAGUUGUAAUACACAAAAUAUCAGGUAUUACGAACAUGCGUAUAAUAAAAUGAACAUAGGCCAAACUUUUCUAUUAAAAACGAGUCUCUGAUGUCUCUGAAUUUGUAUCCCGAGUCAUUUCUUUGUAUAUUUUAGACAACUAAGAGUUAGAAAAUAUAGUUUACAAAAUGCUCCUAUUUUAACCAGAAUUUCCUGGGAUGAAAGGAGGACUUCCCUUACUUAAAAUACUUCAAUUUGCGACUAUCAACACGCCUUGGAAAUGGCAAUUGUUUGAGUAAAAUCCGUAAUCUAUUUCGUGAUAAA
rnacentral:lncRNA from 1 species